rnacentral:rRNA from 1 species
UACAGGGGGUGCAAACGUUGCUCGGAAUUAUUGGGCGUAAAGCGCGCGUAGGCGGCUACUUAAGUCGGAUGUGAAAGCCCCUGGCUCAACCGGGGAAGUGCACCCGAAACUGAGUAGCUAGAGUACGAAAGAGGGUCGCGGAAUUCCCGGUGUAGAGGUGAAAUUCGUAGAUAUCGGGAGGAACACCGGUGGCGAAGGCGGCUCACUGGCCCGAUACUGACGCUGAGGUGCGAAAGCGUGGGGAGCAAACAGG